CGCGUUUUAACUUCCGCUCGUACGCUGUUGACGCACCUGAGCACGUGGCCGACUGACCCCGGCUCGGAGGGAGCAGCAGGGCUCUCUAAUGAAUGACAGCAGUUCUGUUCUGGUCGGCAGUGUGUCAUUCUGGUGGAGGACUGGCAACUUCAGCUGGCUGGCGUCGACUUAAGGCGCUGAGUGGCGGGGACAUGAUGGACAUGGCACAAACAGUUCAGGACCCGAUGUAUUCAAGGACGAUCACAUGUGAUCAAAAUGCUGGUGUGCAUCCGAGUGAGCCUUUCAUUAAUAUCAAAGUCGAGCUGAUAAACAACAAUGCAAAGAAAAGAAAGGCUGAUGAAAGUUUCCUGACACCGGCCAAAAAGGAUUUUAGUCCAGAGGCUUUGUCCCCUGACAUGGGAUGUUACAUGGACUAUUGCAGCCCCCCUGACAGAGAAAAAUCUGCCUCUCCUAGUUCCAUCGCUAAGCCUGCACUGCAGAGAGAAGCUACUGAGACGGAACCAACUGUGCAUCUCCACACACAGCCUGAUUUUGAUGGUGACGUUGACAGCAUCUUGUGCCUCAAUCCCUGUAUCACUGGUUCCUCUGGGAAAUCGUCUGACAAUCCAGAGGAAUGCAAAAGUCCAAAGAGCAACGUGGUUCAAAAGGCACUCUUAGUCACAGAAGAACACAAACAAGAGCUGGAUAGAGGAGAUGACAAGGGAUAUUUAUCUCUGUCAAUAUUGCCUCAACUGGAGGAGUCCCAUUCUGAAAGUUCAUCUCUGCCAAGUUGUCAUAAACAAGCUGCGCUGUCUGGAUCAGACAACUCCUUCGCAAUCAAUGACUUGGAUCCUGUUGUAAGUGGGCCAGUGUUGCCAUCAGUGCACUCAAAUGUAGAGCAUUUAAAGGAUGACGUUGAAGUGUGGAAUAUUGGUCUCCCUAUCUUCGAGUCUUCUCUGUGUCACAAUGUCACUGUGAAAUGUAAUGCUGCCGGUGAGCGGACUACUGAGGUGUCAGAGGAGGUGUCAGAGGAGGUGCAAGGAGGCGAGGUGGAACCUUUACCUGUGUGUCUGGCCACAUUUGGUGAAGAGGAGACCUCUUUGGACACCAGUUAUGAAACAACUUUACCUCUUAAUGUACAGGUGAAGUCAGUUGUCGUGCCUGUCAGUCAGGAGCCUUCUGGCAGUAAAACUGCAGCUCCUCUUCUGCCAGCCAAGCAAAGCCCAAAGGCGGGUAGAGUUUGCCGGACCAACCAAUGUGUCAACAGUGCCAGGAGACAAAGGCCAGUGAACUUGGACCGAGACUUUGAUUUGGAGCGUUAUAAACGGAUGUAUCUCCAUUCAGUCACCAGACACGUGAAUGAGAAUUCUGGAGCAGAUCAAGCAGAAAAGCGGCCAACUUUGCAUCCCUGAGUACAAGUCCCGCAGCUCCCUCCACCUCUGAUAUGAUGCCCCGAAAGUUAUCCAAGAUUUCUUUCUGGCAAGAUGUCAUGACGGAGCUGCUAAACCUGAUGACCCAUGUUGCUGACCAGACACAAAACCCUAAUGGCACCCAGUGGCAGCAUCCCUCUGACCUUACAAGCAGGAACUACCAGCGACGAUUUGGAAACAUGAUGCCAACAAUGACCCUCCAUGAAUGGCAGGCCAAGAACAACAAAAUGCACAAGCGCUUUGCAAAGGUUCCAGCGAUUUUCCAACGGAGUCCUUUUCCAUAAACUAGGAGUUGUAAUUCUUCUGUUACUGUUAACCAAUUGCACUUCACCUCAUAGAGGGCUCCAUCAGUGUUUGUACUGUUUUUUUUUUCUUGUUGGUCUGUAGUUUUUUUUUUUUUGUCAGUUUGGGUUUUCCAUGUAAUUCUUUAAACUAUGCAUGUUCUUGUGUGUGAAUAUUUGCAUGUUUUAAGGGGUUUUGGUGUUGUGUGAAUUAUGCAGAGGAGCAAGCACUGUUGGGUUUCAAGCACCCUGCCUUUUACUCUAUCUGAACCUGUCUGUUUUUAUUGUGUAUUUAAGUACAUUUUGAACAUUUCAAAGAAGUUAAGCACUCAUGUUAUGGGUAGUUGUAUUGGGGGGGGGAAUCUGCAAUAAAAAUUUAGCAGACAUGUUGAAGUGUUAAGGUCAAAUCCAUGGUUAAGUUAAUAGUUCAUUGUAAAGCAGUCUAAUGUUAUGUAAUUCAUGUUGUGGUAUAAUAUACACGUUUUGUAUUGGCAGAAGGUGAUAAACGUUGAUUCACCCACGUCAUGUAAGAAUUUAUAAGUCAGUUACUGUAAUUAUACAUUUUGGGGGGAAAAAAAUGGGAAAACUGUUCACAACAAGGUCUGUAAAUAGUCUUCAAAAAACCUGUUAGUAGGGCCACAGACAACUCAUGUCAUCUUCCUUUGUUUGGUUUCAGCAGAUGGCUUUGGUCAACAUUUCAAAACCUGACCACUAAAACUACAAAACACUACUAUUAGGUGGUUGGAUUGCAAAAAUGUUUGUAGCGCAGCAGUGACCACAACGUCCUCUGUGCACCAGUCUUAUGCAAUGUAAGAAAAGUCCCAGAUAAGUUGACUGGUUAUCUCUUUCUAAUUAUCUACUUUGAGUCUGAGCAGCAAUGUUUGUGUUACUGCUGUAUUAAUGUUCAAUAAAUAAUGCUGUUUUUUUCAGCUUUGCAGUAUCUGA